GUCUGCCUACGGGGCGCAGCAGUGGGGAAUAUUGCACAAUGGGGGGAACCCUGAUGCAGCAAUGCCGCGUGAAGGAUGAAGGUUUUCGGAUUGUAAACUUCUUUUGUACGGGGCGAAGAAAGUGACGGUACCGUAAGAAUAAGCCACGGCUAACUACGUGCCAGCAGCCGCGGAAAUACGUAGGUGGCAAGCGUUAUCCGGAUUUACUGGGUGUAAAGGGCGAGUAGGGGGGAUUGCAAGACAGAUGUGAA
rnacentral:rRNA from 1 species